AAUCAACGCUGGCGGCGCGCUUAACACAUGCAAGUCGAACGAGAAAGGGAGCAAUCCUGAGUAAAGUGGCGUACUGGUGAGUAACACGUGGAUAUCUACCUCUUGGUGGGGAAUAACCUGGGGAAACCUGGGCUAAUACCGCAUAAGUUCGUGAGAAGAAAGGCGCAAGUCGCCGAGAGAGGAGUCCGCGGUCGAUUAGGUAGUUGGCAGGGUAAAAGCCUACCAAGCCGAAGAUCGAUAGCCGGCCUGAGAGGGCACACGGCCACACUGGCACUGAAACACGGGCCAGACUCCUACGGGAGGCAGCAGUGGGGAAUCUUGCACAAUGGGGGAAACCCUGAUGCAGCGACGCCGCGUGAGCGAUGAAGCCCUUCGGGGUGUAAAGCUCUUUCGGCAGGAACGAUAAUGACGGUACCUGCAGAAGAAGCUGCGGCUAACUACGUGCCAGCAGCCGCGGUAAU
rnacentral:rRNA from 1 species